GACGAACGCUGGCGGCGUGCUUAACACAUGCAAGUCGAACGGUGAACCUCUUCGGAGGGGAUCAGUGGCGAACGGGUGAGUAACACGUUGGCAACCUGACCCCCGCCCUGGGAUACCUCCAAGAAAUUGGGGCUAAUACCGGAUGUUCACCGCUUCCCGCAUGGGUGGUGGUGCAAAGGGUUUCCGGCGGGGGAUGGGCCCGCGGCCUAUCAGCUUGGUGGUGGGGUAGUGGCCUACCAAGGCCACGACGGGUAGCCGGCCUGAGAGGGUGACCGGCCACACUGGGACUGAGACACGGCCCAGACUCCUACGGGAGGCAGCAGUGGGGAAUAUUGCGCAAUGGGCGGAAGCCUGACGCAGCGACGCCGCGUGGGGGAUGACGGCCUUCGGGUUGUAAACCUCUUUCAGCAGGGACGAAGCGCAAGUGACGGUACCUGCAGAAGAAGCACCGGCCAACUACGUG
rnacentral:rRNA from 1 species